UGAGGAAUAUUGGGCAAUGCCCGCAAGGGUGACCCAGCAACGCCGCGUGGAGGAUGAAUGUCGUAAGAUUGUAAACUCCUGUUAGAGGGGAAGAAUAGUACCGGUUGGACCGGUAUAUGACUGUACCCUCAGAGAAAGCCCCGGCUGACUACGUGCCAGCAGCCGCGGUAAUACGUAGGGGGCAAGCGUUGUCCGGAUUUACUGGGUGUAAAGGGCGCGCAGGCGGGAUAAAAAGUCAGUGGUGAAAUCCUACAGCUUAACUGUAGAACUGCCUUUGAUACUUUUAUUCUUGAGUUCGGGAGAGAGAGACGGAAUUCCAGGUGUAGUGGUGAAAUACGUAGAUAUCUGGAAGAACACCAGUUGCGAAGGCGGUCUCUUGGUCCGACACUGACGCUGAGGCGCGAAAGCGUGGGGAGCAAACA
rnacentral:rRNA from 1 species